rnacentral:rRNA from 2 species
ACGCCGCGUGAGUGAUGAAGGUUUUCGGAUCGUAAAGCUCUGUUGUUAGGGAAGAACAAGUGCGAGAGUAACUGCUCGCACCUUGACGGUACCUAACCAGAAAGCCACGGCUAACUACGUGCCAGCAGCCGCGGUAAUACGUAGGUGGCAAGCGUUGUCCGGAAUUAUUGGGCGUAAAGGGCUCGCAGGCGGUUUCUUAAGUCUGAUGUGAAAGCCCCCGGCUCAACCGGGGAGGGUCAUUGGAAACUGGGAAACUUGAGUGCAGAAGAGGAGAGUGGAAUUCCACGUGUAGCGGUGAAAUGCGUAGAGAUGUGGAGGAACACCAGUGGCGAAGGCGACUCUCUGGUCUGUAACUGACGCUGAGGAGCGAAAGCGUGGGGAGCGAACAGGAUUAGAUACCCUGGUAGUCCACGCCGUAAACGAUGAGUGCUAAGUGUUAGGGGGUUUCCGCCCCUUAGUGCUGCAGCUAACGCAUUAAGCACUCCGCCUGGGGAGUACGGUCGCAAGACUGAAACUCAAAGGAAUUGACGGGGGCCCGCACAAGCGGUGGAGCAUGUGGUUUAAUUCGAAGCAACGCGAAGAACCUUACCAGGUCUUGACAUCCUCUGACAACCCUAGAGAUAGGGCUUUCCCUUCGGGGACAGAGUGACAGGUGGUGCAUGGUUGUCGUCAGCUCGUGUCGUGAGAUGUUGGGUUAAGUCCCGCAACGAGCGCAACCCUUGAUCUUAGUUGCCAGCAUUUAGUUGGGCACUCUAAUG